GACGAACGCUGGCGGCGUGCUUAACACAUGCAAGUCGAACGGAAAGGCCCUGCUUUUGUGGGGUGCUCGAGUGGCGAACGGGUGAGUAACACGUGAGUAACCUGCCCUUGACUUUGGGUAACUUCAGGAAACUGGGGCUAAUACCGGAUAGGAGCUCCUGCUGCAUGGGGGGGGUUGGAAAGUUUCGGCGGUUGGGGAUGGACUCGCGGCUUAUCAGCUUGUUGGUGGGGUAGUGGCUUACCAAGGCUUUGACGGGUAGCCGGCCUGAGAGGGUGACCGGCCACAUUGGGACUGAGAUACGGCCCAGACUCCUACGGGAGGCAGCAGUGGGGAAUAUUGCACAAUGGGCGGAAGCCUGAUGCAGCAACGCCGCGUGCGGGAUGACGGCCUUCGGGUUGUAAACCGCUUUCGCCUGUGACGAAGCGUGAGUGACGGUAAUGGGUAAAGAAGCACCGGCUAACUACGUG
rnacentral:rRNA from 1 species